ensembl:snoRNA K09H9.11 ncRNA
GGAUUCUAUGCGUGAUCUAGGGUUUUAACAUUGAAUUUUAUUGUAUCCUCCCAUUUCCCCCAAAAAUGUUGUUGUUGCCUGGCAAUUUGUACCAUUGUUUUGUUUCUCUUGGUGUUGUUUUCUUGCAUCAACAAUACCCCGAGAGAAUCAAUGCAGUUUUAUCUCGUAGUUUUGUAGUUUUUCUUAUGGCCGCUGGAUGGCAUCCGAUGCAC